UCAAUGAAGGAACAAGCUCUGGUGACCUUAUUGAGGACACUUGCCUGAGUUACAUUAUAAGAUUUUGAGCAGUAAAACUUGAGCUUGCUCACCAUUAACCUGCAAAGUCUUUGUUAACUCCUGCGCCAUAAAAAAUUCUCACAAAAAAAAAAAAAACUUUGUGCAAGAUAGACUCACUUCGGUUUACCUCUCUACCUUUUCUCAUAUGGCAACUUUAAUAUUUGCAUCUCUUUUCACAGUGAGAGACAAAGAAUACUUCUGUCAGUAAUUCUUGGGGGAAUAUAAAAAAAAUGAAGACAAAAGACAGAAAUCAACUUUAAGCAGUAAUUACGUCCACAAUAUAACAGCUAAUUAAAGUUGUGUCCAAAGUGCUGCCAGGGUUCCAGCUGCUGGGAGCAGUGUGACAUUAAGUGCUACCAGCUGUGGCCAAUUACAGGCCCUCCAACUAGGAAAGAAAAGGAGUAAUUAGAGCAGUUGGGUAAAAUGUAUCUGGUGUGGUGUUGCUGCUUUGUGCCUACUGCUGUAACACAUAGGAAGAAUCACCUGGGUUGCUUGUGAUCACCGUCCUGCUACACAGUUGGUACUGACAUUGUGCUCCAGAGGAUGCACUUCAGGAUUCUUCAGGGGCCUUAUUAUUUAGGCAUAUUUCAAAUCAGGUCCUAAAGAAACUAGCAAAUGGAAGACCAUGAGUUUUCAGCCCUGCAGAUGCGAACCUGCAACCCUCACUCUGGGUGAGAUCUCUUCCCUAGGUUUGUUUCUCAGUCACAGUAAGUGGAGAUCUGAUGUCCUAGCCUCACUGGCUGAUUUUGGGCUUUUGGGGUUAAGGUGAAAUCUGCUGAAGGCAGUAGAUGUCUUUACAGCGUGCUUAACACACCCAGCAUUGAAGUAUUGCUUUCCUUCUGAAUUGCCUCCUGCAUGCAACGUCUGCCACCUGCUACAUCCUUGUUCAUGCAGAGGUAGAUUUAUUUUUAUUCCUGUUACAGCAGUCUCUGGUAGGCAGCACCCCCAGUGCUGGCACUGCCUAUUAAUCGCCAUGUUUCCCAUCUGGUGCUGUACAGUCUGAAUCUCUUUAGCCAAGUAUACGCUAAGUUAUGGUCAGAUGUAAGAAUUAGCUGGGGCCAGUGGUCCAGAGCUGGUGUUGAGGACAGGUUUAGUGCAGGAUAAACUGCCAUUGCCACAUCACUCAGACUGCCCAGCUGCAGCUGCUGUUGCUUAGCUACAAAACUCAGUCCAAUCCAUAGCAGAGCUGGCACUGAAGCAUUUCAAAUAUGACAAGACCCCAAGGAUGCUCAUCGAUGUAUGUGCAGGAAUAUUACAGGUCCUGUAUGCUGAGAUUUUAGUGACUGUGACUGUUAGCUUACAUGGUGCUGGUUAGAGGGGACUGCAUUGUUGCUAGCUCAGUUUUUAGUGUAGCUGGGGUAUUUGCAUUCUGUGGCCAGAGACACUGAUUUUAAGGAGUGUGUGUGUCUAGGAGGGGAAUUACUGAACAAAGGUCCUUGAAAAGGGGGAAAUGAAAUAAGAGAGUUCUUUGGCAGCUCCUGCAAGAAAAGGCCCUAAUGUUCUCUAUGGACAUCUCCACUCCUCCUAUAAAUUCUUUAUAUGAAUCAUUAAUUAGUGGAAGCACGUUCCCAUAGCUCAAGGGCAGAGCAGUUAAAAAGCAGAAAGCUGCAAGAUUAAAUGUGAAGUUUCUUUUUAAGAUGCCUUUUACGUUUUGGAGACUUUGAGGAAAAUUAGCCAUGCAACCCCUCCAUUUACUUUGUUGCCAAAAUACAACUCCUCUGUAGGAGGAUUGAUUCCCAGAGUUAAACCCUGGUUACUAGAGCUGGGCUACAUCAUGUGUUAGCAACAUGAACUGCACAACUGCCCAUACGCGACGUGUGUGUAUCGAUGCAUCUGUCUGCAACAUUGACGCCUUUCAGCUUCCCUCUGCUGGUUUGCACUGGUGCCUUGCUUUAUAUCUCUACAAACUGUGACUGCGUUUUUGCAGUGUCAUGAAAACAAAUGACUUUGACUUCCCUAGAUAUGUUUUUGGUUUCCAAAGCAGCUACACGUGAAGGACAAGAGCACUGUGCUUCGAGCAAUACUAAUUAAUAGUCUGAAGGUGUGUUCUCAUUUUGACGGUUGAAUUUAAUCACAGUUCAUCUGAAUGCAGAAGAGUUCUCUGAAACUCCAGCAGAAUCUGGUAGGACUGUGAACAUGAGGACUUAAAUGAUAAUCAAGAUUUUUGGAAGGGAUGCGAUUUGUCAUUUUCCAGGGCAUAAGCCAGCCUCUCAGUAGGAAAGGGUUUCAUGAAACUUUCACUGUGGAAAAUUUUUUAGUCAUUAUGGCAUUGUGCAGUUCUCACAUACCUGCCUGUAGUGCCAGUGAACAGCACCAAAAGAGGAGAGUGCUGACUGCAUUUACCUUGAGCUUACCCCUCGCAUUUUCUGAGCUUAAUCAUGUCCUUUUGGACACUAUGACCUCCUGUUAUAUCUCAAACACACUUGCUGACUUCUGCCAUAGCUUGCUCUCAAGGUGGAUGAGGGGAGAUACUGCACAGAUGAGAAUGAAGCAGAGCUGUGCUCAGACACUUCUGCAUCUCAUUUAUGGAAAAAAAAAAAAAAGAGAGAGAGAGAGACAGGACAGUGCCAUUCUUUUGGCAUCAGCAGAAUUAUCCCAGAGAAAUGAGAACAGACUUGGGUCUGCUAUCUUUCAGUGCUAGCGUAACGAAAAGUAACAGUCUUAUAAAAAUGAACAGCUGUAUUUCAAGGCUCCCUCAUGCUGCCACCGGGAGUGCAAAGGCCACCUGCCUGCACUCACACUUCCCCUCUGUGGUGACUGUGGUGGUGGCUAGUAUGGAAAGGUAGUCUGUGGAGAGCAUUUCUCUAGGUUCAGCUGUCUCCAGGAUGAGUCAGCAACAGAAAAUAAAAUAGUAGAGCAGCACUCUGAUGGAGCUGUGUCACUGUGCUGGUCUGUCCCCAGAGCAAAGCACAAGGAGAGGCUUUGUGCUGGGAAAGCUUCCUUGGAGCUACUGACUAUAUUGGUCUAUAGCUGGAAAGCAACCAAGUGUAUGCUUAAACUUCCAGAAUGAUGCCGGAACAAAGCGACUUACAGAAAGGUUAAGAACUACAGUUCUGACUUUCUGCUUAUCUUCUGCAUCUCUAAAGAUUGUUCUUGAUGCUACCAUCACAGAUGUGAGCUGUGGAAGGAACUACAGUUGACCAUAGAACUGGCCAACUCUGUUUUCCCUAUUUUAUGGCAGAGAAACAGUGUGGAUGCAACCUUAUCAGUUAAAAUGAGAAAAAUUCACUAUAAAAUAUUUUGCAUUAUAUUUCUGGUCCAUGUACAGUGACACAACCCUACUGAGAGAAGGUACAUUGAGUGACCUCAUAUUAUUCUUAUUUCUUACUGUUAAAAGCUAUUUAACUUAAACAUCUGUACAAAUGGUGGGGAAUAAACCCAUCCUUCAAAACCCCCUUAGUUGUUUUUGACCCCAAAUUUAAAGGCAAGAGAAGCUCUCUAUGAAAUGCAUGGUAAUGCACCUAAUUUUUGUAGAGCUCCUCUUAGAAUAACAGAGCAGAAAAUGAAAACUCAUAAUCAAAUUAAACAGUCUUCUGUUGUUGCCUAAUAAAGAAAAUUGCAUUAAUGUAUGGGAAUUCAGCUUUCAGAAAUCUGUGUCAUAUAUAUGUGUAAUUUAUGAGAUUGUUCUAACACCAAGAAAAAAGCAAAAGUUUGAAAAUAGCCUGGACUCCUGCUCAGGUUUGUUACUUGAUUUCCUGUGCACACACAAGCCUAUCACUUCUAAACCUAUUUUACCUCUUACUUAGCAGUGGAUAAAAGCAUAAGAUGUACUAGGAGGGCUGCUCUGAAAGUAAUGCCUCCUAUUUUUUAUUUUUAUGUUGGCCCACAGCAUCAGAGGCAGGUGUUUGUGGUAUGGUAGUAGUGGUUGAACCUUCCCACCAGUAUUCCAUUACAUGUUGUUGCCAUGUGACAGAUGGCAGCAGGGGCAGUCUGACAAAAUGGCAGCUGACAUAGAAGUGAGUAUGAAGCAAAAGUGUGGAACUGAACUCCUCCACUUGGAAGAAAUGGCGCCCAUUGAUAUUCAUCAAUGCUUGCUGAAUGCUUAUGGAGACCAAACAGUAGAUGUGAGCACAGUGAGAGGGUGGGUGUACAUUUCAGGGGUGAUGAUAGCAACAAUGUGCCACCUCCGCUGGCGCAGACUUCUAUUUGCAUGGCAGGCAGGCUCUUGUUCAUCGCUGGCAAAAAUGCAUAGCUAAUGGUAGUGGCUAUGUUGAAAAACAGUUUUGUAGCUGAGAAUUUGCUCUGUCAAAUAGUGUUAUUGUGCUCUUUGUAACAGUUGUCAUUUCCAUGGAAAUAAAUAGGAGGCAUUACUUUCAGCAUGACCUACGUAUCCAACUAUUAGUUUUACAAUGGGUAUCUGUUGCUUGCUCCCAGAGUAGCUCUCAAAAGCAAGUUACUCUUCGGUGUUGUCUAUUGAUUGCUGCUUUUUGCCUUUUAGUCUUGCUAUUUUUGUUGUUGCUGUUGUUGAUUUUCCUUGCUCUUGCAGAAAGCAGUGCCAGGCCAUUAGGAAACUGAAUUAUUAAACCUUCUGAUUGAUUUUCCAUGACAAUAUAGCUGACACUAUCAUGUAGGGACCCUUGCCUUAAGCUACGCAGACAGGGUUUUGAUAAGUGCUUGACAGCUCUCCUCAUUCUUUCGCUUCAUUAUCUUCUCUCUCUUUACUACAUCAUCAUUUCAAAGAGGAGGAGAUUAUGAACUCUGCUAUAUGGAAUCAGUUUGUUUUACUGUCAGCCUCCCUUUGCUAACAGCCACAGAAACAAAGGAAUUUUUCCUUCUUUUCGUUCUGGAGAUGCACAACAGAUCAGCCCAUUUACUGACAGACUCAGCAUUGACACCAUUGUAUCCAUGGCAACAUACCAGCCUGCGCAAGCAUCCAAAGAUAUUAUGAAAAGCAGAAAUAUCAAAUGAUGACGAGUCACUUCAGACAAUAGAUGUUUAUGUGUUUCACAACCACCUGAAAUACUUCUCUCCCCACCUAUCAGGUCCUUGAUUAUAACACGCUUUAGUUUUCUCUUACAGCUUCUUUGUCAGAAUACAAAACUCAAGGCAGAAUUAAUCUCAAUUUUGAGUUUUUUUUUCAUUCUAAUCACUGGCUGAGGUAACUGAGAGGAAUGAGUGCCCCAGAACUCUGACUAUUCUCUUUGAUUUGGGUUGGAGUACAGGUUCUUCAAAUGAAAAAUCCAAACUAAUAAUUGAAAAAGAAGGGGCCUACAUCAGCCCAAUGUAUUUCAGGGCUAACACAUGUAGCUGGGUGACUGCUAGACUGAUUUGUGAUUUGCCCGAUGGAGUUGUAUGAACUACUGCUUUCUUAUGAUGAGAGUAGAUUUAAUAAGAUCUGAACAUUUUUAUAUAACUUCAUCCAACUUCUGGCAUGGCAGAGACUCUGCUAAAGCAUCUGCAGAUGCUUCUCUUCACAGAUCCCAUGGGUUCUUCAGUUCUGCUGAACAUACAGGCACACAGGCUGCAUUUUAGAAGCUGGUUGCAGCAAAUGUAUCAGUUCAUUAAACUGGGCGCUUACACAUGAAAACAUCUGUAAUUUAGAUCAGAUAACUGCACAUGGAGUACUGACUGGUGCUGCUAGAUAACUGUUGGCAAAUAUGGGCAUAAGUUACCAUGAAUUUACAAAUGUAAUGUACAUGCUGCCCGUUAGGACUCCACCCCUCAUUUUUCAUGUACAAAGCAGACCUUUAGAAUCACAUGCUGAUGAUGACACUGAAUGAGGUGUUAUGUGACACACAGCAAGCCUACAAGUAGCCUUAAGGCAUUUAGGACCAUCUUCCUCAGCCCAGGGAAAUAUUUCAGCCACGCUAAGCCAUGACGACUCUGUGCUCAUUGGUCAGACUGCAGGCUGAGGACAUUCUCAAAUCUAGACUACCUCACUGCAUUCAUGGUUUGCAUAGCAUCUGAGUUUGAGGCAGAAUUUGAAGCUUGUUGAGGGAGAGAUCCCAAGUACGUUUGGUAUUUAACCUCAAGCCACAGUUUUGGAGAAGCAGUGCAAUGUGAUUUACAAGCAGAUCAUGAGUAUUCCUGAGGACUGUGAUCAAUGAGCCUGAAGCAUUGCUGGGUUAGCAGCCAGCAGCCCAUUUGGAAGGUGUGUGGGGUGCACGAGGCAACUUCCAAGUUCCUCUUCUUCCUUUAGAUAGACCUUGUUUCAUGGGUUUUGUUCUCUUCUCACGGUUGAUCCAGGUAAGAGGGUGAGGUCUAUCGUGGCCCACUGCAAAUUGCCUUAAUUCUUUAGUGCUUUUAGGAUUGCAGGACAUGGAUUCUUGUGUCUACUCUAGCUUUCUCCUGAAGGUAUGCGCUCUGUUACCUUUUAAAAAAUGGAAGACUCUCAGCAGCAAGCUGGCUAUGUUUGUAGCCAAGGCAAAUAAAUAACUCCUUGUUAUGUCUGCAGAUGCCUCCCCUCUCUUAACAAAUAAUGGCAGUGUUUUAUUUGCAGAAAGAGUAAAAGAAAUAUGAAGCCCAAAACCCUAGAUGAACUUGGUGUUCUGUAUCAUUAUGUUAACUUGAUUAGGCUAAUCUGUUUUCAACUGGUAAUUUAAGCUUUAGGCUUGGAAAAUACAGUAGCAUUUACAUGUUUGAACAUAAGAAUAUGAGCAUUUUAAGAAGUAGAAAGCCUUAUCAAAAUUCUACAUUAAUAAAACAAGCUAUCAGUGCAUCAGAGAGUUCAAGAGUUUCCAUGUGCAAGCAUGCAAGCACAGCUAUAGAUUCCUUCUGUGGUUUUAAUUCUCAGAAGAUACCAUUGGAAAAACUCAGACUUUUGAGCAGAACAGGAAAUUAACUCUCAGAAAUAGUAUACCCCUCAAGUUCUAACUAAUAUGAAAUUUAGUAAUAUAUGUGUCAUAUUUAUUUUGAAAAGCAACUUUUCUACAUAAGCAUGCUACAGAUGCAACAUAUAAAGAGAGAUUUCACUACUUACACCUUCUGUUCAAUUUUGUAGGUAGGCAGUGGAUGCUUAUUGCUUUAGAAGACCUGGUAGUACUGAAUGGGGCAGUAGUUUUAUUCCUUCAGCUUUCAGGAUAGAUAAACAUGACAAUGGUUGAACAAGUGAGAAGGUAGAGACAGCAAAGCAAACAACCUGAGCUCACAGACUUGCAGUCAUUACUUCCUGACAAUCAUUCCCUGUUAUAACUAGAAAAUGUUAAAAGAAACAAAUCUCUUUUUUUUUCUCCCUAGAGAGACUUCUUUUCUCUGAUUGUGGAGAUGGGAAUUGAAUAGAUAAACUGUUCUUCCCUAUACAAGAAAACAGAUUAAAGCAGUGAAAAAUGGCUUAGGCGAAGAACUGUCACCAGCUGCAUUCUGCAGGGAUCAGUAAUCCCCUCACUUCCUUUUGAAUACAUUUACAAAAUGUCCUGUGACAAGUCUGACAUCCAGUUUUUUCCUCUUCAGCAAAGGCAACUAGCCCCAUAACUAAGAUGUCACAAAGCCUCAAAAGCUGAGUGGAAAGGAGCUGGUUUAGGUAAAUGACAGAAGGAAAGGAGGCUCUGUGCAUAACUGCUUACUCAAUAAGAGAUUUCUGGUGUGCAUUCUGCACUUCAGCAUGUUAUCUGGGGACCCUUUGCUUUGAAUCACAGCAGUGAGAAAUAAGGAUCCAAAUACCAGCUGGAACUGAGUCUCUGCUGUAAUUCUUGCCUCCUUGUGUCCCUAACAGGAGGUGGAAGCAGUAUUUUGUACUGUCUGCUUUCAAACCAUGCUACUUCUAAUGCAAAGAUUGGCUUUUGACAUCUAAAGCAUUUAGUAAAUUAGACCUCCUAAAACUAACUAACUCACCAUAAUUCAUCUGGGUACCUACUUCCCUUGGAAAAAAGACCAAAGACAGUGAGGGUCUGCAAAGAGUUGCUCUGGUAAAAGUCCUCCCACUGUGGCUAGAUCUCAUGUCUGCUUAAAGCUUUCACAUGCCAGCUUGCAGCAUAUUUUUACAGACAGGUAACAUCUCCGAGUAAUCUUUAAAAGGUAAACGCUAUCAAAUGGUAGACAGGCAGAAACAGGAGGUUUUUAAAAUGGAAAUUUUACCAUAUGAGUUAACGAUAUAGUUGUGUUUCUUGUCCCAGUCAGAAGCAACUUGAACAUAGUCUCUUAUGCAAAGCCAGGGAUAAAUAUACCAUGUUUUCGGUGGGAGAUUUUGUUUUGCUCAGUGGUUGAUAACACAUUUUAAGGAGCUAUUCAGCUCACGCUUUUUUUUCCUUCACUUGGGCACUAGAGGGACUCUAGAGUUCUCUGUUACUGCAAGAAACAUCUCAGCAAUGUUGAAGCAGUAAUCACGCCUUCAUGGUCACCUUAGCUCAAGUGUUUCUAAGGGGAAAGGUGGCAAAAAUUGCCCAACUGGUUGUGGCACAUGCCCAGAGACUUACAACGUGUCACUGGGGAGAGUGCCUAAAAGCUCCACAGGAUGCUUUCCACUGUUUGUAAUUCUUGUUUUUGCUUGCAGCUCUCCUGAUCAUAAAUAAAUAAGGGCUGGCUUUGACUUGACUGCUCCGUGCACUUAGCUGAUGUUGUGACAUUGGCACUGAGUCGUGGAUUGUACUGUGUUUUUGAGAGAUUAAAUGUUUCCUUCUCUAUUCAGGAGGGAAGCCAAACACCUAAGCGGCCAACAAUUACAGCUCGACAAACUGUCAGAAGAGAGGAAGAUAAUAGAAGAAUAUAUAUUGACAUGGUCCCUUUUAGAGUGGCUCUCACACACAGUUUCAAAUGAAUCAUUUUAAAAAGAACUACAGACAAUGUCCUUCCUUAUCCUUUUAGGAGGCAGGCAAAAGUCCACAAAAAUUUCACAUGCAGACAUCCAUAAUUCAGUGUGUCAGAGCUUUACUAUAAAGCUCAUCACUUGUGAAGUUAUGUAAAAAUCUCCUUUGUAAAAAAAUCUUUCCCCACUGUCUCUUAGUAGGAUGAUGCUUUUUGAUCUCUGCAUGAAUAUUUCUAAUAAAAAUACUUGCAUGUAUCUUAACAUCUCUAACAUAAAUUAUAAGACUUUUUCCUCUCUUAAAAUGUCUAGUGUCAACACUGUUGUUGAAUACUUAAUGUAAAGUAUAAUGUAAUUUGACUAGAUAAUUAUCUGGGGGAAAAUGGCGAAUGCCAUGUUGUUUUUUCUGUGUUUGUUUUUCAUCUUCGGUGACUGUUUAAAGGAGAGCUGCAGCUGAAUGACUAACAUUCUAAGGUUCACCUUCUCUCACUGCAGCCUGCUGCUGAAAAGAUACUGCCACAAUACUGCAUCUGAGUGAGAGGCAUUGAUUUCUGCAUGGCGCAUGGAAUACUCUAGGCCUUUCUCUGGUCAAUAUAUCACCCUGACCUCUAGGGGUGUUUAUAGACAGCACACAGCCUAUUUAUUUGGUAUGGUAUCUUUCCAUCGAGACUUCAGUGAUACACUUGCAGUGCUUUUUUUCCCACAAAAGUAUAAGCUGUCUUUUCCCUUUUUGUGUAUUAUUAACUUAAAAUAAAUCUAAUUCUAUUUGCAUGAA